rnacentral:rRNA from 1 species
CCUACGGGCGGCAGCAGUGAGGAAUAUUGGUCAAUGGUCGGGAGACUGAACCAGCCAAGCCGCGUGAAGGAUGAAGGUACCGAGUAUUGUAAACCUCUUUUGUCAGGGAACAAAGGCGGGGACGAGUCCCCGGAUGAGUGUACCUGAAGAAAAAGCAUCGGCUAACUCCGUGCCAGCAGCCGCGGUAAUACGGAGGAUGCGAGCGUUAUCCGGAUUUAUUGGGUUUAAAGGGUGCGUAGGCGGGCUUUUAAGUCAGCGGUGAAAGUCUGUGGCUCAACCCUAGAAGUGCCGUUGAAACUGGGAGUCUUGAGUAGGUUUGAGGCAGGCGGAAUGCGGGGUGUAGCGGUGAAAUGCUUAGAUAUCGCGCAGAACCCCGAUUGCGAAGGCAGCAUACCAAGCCAUGACUGACGCUGAUGCACGAAAGCGUGGGUAUCGAACAGGAUUAGAUACCCGAGUAGUC